rnacentral:rRNA from 1 species
UACAGGGGGGGCAAGCGUUGUUCGGAAUUACUGGGCGUAAAGGGUUCGUAGGUGGCCAACUAAGUCAGACGUGAAAUCCCUCAGCUUAACUGGGGAACUGCGUCUGAUACUGGAUGGCUUGAGUGUAGGAGAGGAAUGCGGAAUUCCAGGUGUAGCGGUGAAAUGCGUAGAUAUCAGGAGGAACACCAAUUGCGAAGGCAGCUCGCUGGGACGUUACUGACGCUGAGACGCGAAAGCGUGGGGAGCAAACAGG